GCCAGGCCCCCUCCUGAAAGAGGCUCCUUGAAGAUAAUUCUAACAUCUUUGUCAUCAGUGUUGACAUCUCUUGAUUGUAUCCUGUCAUUCCAUUUGAGAUCUUCCUGGUUCUGGCUGGCAUCCUCUGACAUCACUCCAGCAGAAGAAAGGGAAGGAACACGCUGCAUUACUGCGUGGGAUAUCUUCUAACCAUACCGAUGAUUCUCCGUAUAGCUGGUCUUUUCCACCUUAUCAUCCUUCCUCUGAGAAGUAUGAAAACACUAAGACAUGUCGAGGGCCAGAUGGAGAACUCCAUGCCAACCUGCUUUGCCCUGUGGAUGUGCUGGAUGUUCCCGAGGGCACCUUGCCUGACAAACAGAGCACUGAGCAAGCCAUACAGUUGUUGGAAAAGAUGAAAACGUCAGCCAGUCCUUUCUUCCUGGCCGUUGGGUAUCAUAAGCCACACAUCCCCUUCAGAUACCCCAAGGAAUUUCAGAAGUUGUAUCCCUUGGAGAACAUCACCCUGGCCCCCGAUCCCGAGGUCCCUGAUGGCCUACCCCCUGUGGCCUACAACCCCUGGAUGGACAUCAGGCAACGGGAAGACGUCCAAGCCUUAAACAUCAGUGUGCCGUAUGGUCCAAUUCCUGUGGACUUUCAGCGGAAAAUCCGCCAGAGCUACUUUGCCUCUGUGUCAUAUUUGGAUACACAGGUCGGCCGCCUCUUGAGUGCUUUGGACGAUCUUCAGCUGGCCAACAGCACCAUCAUUGCAUUUACCUCGGAUCAUGGGUGGGCUCUAGGUGAACAUGGAGAAUGGGCCAAAUACAGCAAUUUUGAUGUUGCUACCCAUGUUCCCCUGAUAUUCUAUGUUCCUGGAAGGACGGCUUCACUUCCGGAGGCAGGCGAGAAGCUUUUCCCUUACCUCGACCCUUUUGAUUCCGCCUCACAGUUGAUGGAGCCAGGCAGGCAAUCCAUGGACCUUGUGGAACUUGUGUCUCUUUUUCCCACGCUGGCUGGACUUGCAGGACUGCAGGUUCCACCUCGCUGCCCCGUUCCUUCAUUUCACGU
rnacentral:lncRNA from 1 species